rnacentral:rRNA from 1 species
UACGUAGGAAGCAAGCGUUAUCCGGAUUUACUGGGCGUAAAGUGGGCGUAGGCGGUCUUUCAAGUCGGAUGUGAAAUCUCCUGGCUUAACUGGGAGGAGUCAUCCGAUACUGUUGGACUCGAGGACAGCAGGGGGAGGUGGAAUUCCCGGUGUAGUGGUGAAAUGCGUAGAUAUCGGGAGGAACACCAGUGGCGAAGGCGGCCUCCUAGGCUGUUUCUGACGCUGAGGCCCGAAAGUGUGGGGAG